rnacentral:rRNA from 1 species
GAUGAACGCUGGCGGCGUGCCUAAUACAUGCAAGUCGAGCGAACAGAUGAGGAGCUUGCUCCUCUGACGUUAGCGGCGGACGGGUGAGUAACACGUGGAUAACCUACCUAUAAGACUGGGAUAACUUCGGGAAACCGGAGCUAAUACCGGAUAAUAUAUUGAACCGCAUGGUUCAAUAGUGAAAGACGGUUUUGCUGUCACUUAUAGAUGGAUCCGCGCCGCAUUAGCUAGUUGGUAAGGUAACGGCUUACCAAGGCAACGAUGCGUAGCCGACCUGAGAGGAUCAUCGCCACCACACGAACUGAGAACAGGCACAGAGCACGAGGGUGCGAAGCAGUAAUGAAGACGCCGCGGUGGUGGAGAGCGGGCAGGAGCAAGGCGGUGUGAGUGAUGGAGGUACCAUGAUCGAAAACAUCUGGAAAGAAAGAAGAACAUAUGUGUAAAUAAGUACGACCGUCUGGACGAACACUAGUAAGAAAGGCACGGAUACCUACUGGCCAGCCGCGGCUGAAAUAAUGGCCCCCGUUCGAAC